GGUUAAGUGACUAAGCGUACACGGUGGAUGCCUAGGCAGUCAGAGGCGAUGAAGGGCGUGCUAAUCUGCGAAAAGCGUCGGUAAGGUGAUAUGAACCGUUACAACCGGCGAUACCCGAAUGGGGAAACCCAGUGUGUUUCGACACACUAUCAUGUCAUGAAUACAUAGUGGCAUGAGGCGAACCGGGGGAACUGAAACAUCUAAGUACCCCGAGGAAAAGAAAUCAACCGAGAUUCCCCCAGUAGCGGCGAGCGAACGGGGAGGAGCCCAGAACCUGAAUCGGCUUGUGUGUUAGUGGAAGCGUCUGGAAAGUCGCGCAGCAAAGGGUGAUAGCCCCGUACACUAAAAUGCACAGGUCGUGAGUUCGAUGAGUAGGGCGGGACACGUGACAUCCUGUCUGAAUAUGGGGGGACCAUCCUCCAAGGCUAAAUACUCCUGACUGACCGAUAGUGAACCAGUACCGUGAGGGAAAGGCGAAAAGAACCCCGGCGAGGGGAGUGAAAUAGAACCUGAAACCGUGUACGUACAAGCAGUGGGAGCACCUUCGUGGUGUGACUGCGUACCUUUUGUAUAAUGGGUCAGCGACUUAUAUUUUGUAGCAAGGUUAACCGUAUAGGGGAGCCGUAGGGAAACCGAGUCUUAACUGGGCGAUUAGUUGCAAGGUAUAGACCCGAAACCCGGUGAUCUAGCCAUGGGCAGGUUGAAGGUUGGGUAACACUAACUGGAGGACCGAACCGACUAAUGUUGAAAAAUUAGCGGAUGACUUGUGGCUGGGGGUGAAAGGCCAAUCAAACCGGGAGAUAGCUGGUUCUCCCCGAAAGCUAUUUAGGUAGCGCCUCGUGAACUCAUCUUCGGGGGUAGAGCACUGUUUCGGCUAGGGGGCCAUCCCGGCUUACCAAACCGAUGCAAACUCCGAAUACCGAAGAAUGUUAUCACGGGAGACACACGGCGGGUGCUAACGUCCGUCGUGAAGAGGGAAACAACCCAGACCGCCAGCUAAGGUCCCAAAGUCAUGGUUAAGUGGGAAACGAUGUGGGAAGGCAUAGACAGCCAGGAUGUUGGCUUAGAAGCAGCCAUCAUUUAAAGAAAGCGUAAUAGCUCACUGGUCGAGUCGGCCUGCGCGGAAGAUGUAACGGGGCUAAACCAUGCACCGAAGCUGCGGCAGCGACGCUUAGGCGUUGUUGGGUAGGGGAGCGUUCUGUAAGCCGUUGAAGGUGGCCUGUGAGGGUUGCUGGAGGUAUCAGAAGUGCGAAUGCUGACAUAAGUAACGAUAAAGCGGGUGAAAAGCCCGCUCGCCGGAAGACCAAGGGUUCCUGUCCAACGUUAAUCGGGGCAGGGUGAGUCGACCCCUAAGGCGAGGCUGAAAAGCGUAGUCGAUGGGAAACAGGUUAAUAUUCCUGUACUUGGUGUUACUGCGAAGGGGGGACGGAGAAGGCUAGGCUAGCCGGGCGACGGUUGUCCCGGUUUAAGCGUGUAGGGGGUGUGACCUGGUAAAUCCGGUUACAUACUAACCCUGAGGCGUGAUGACGAUGCACUACGGUGCAGAAGUAGUUGAUGCCCUGCUUCCAGGAAAAGCCUCUAAGC
rnacentral:rRNA from 1 species